UGGGGAAUAUUGCACAAUGGGCGAAAGCCUGAUGCAGCAACGCCGCGUGAGUGAUGAAGGCCUUCGGGUUGUAAAGCUCUGUCUUCUGGGACGAUAAUGACGGUACCAGAGGAGGAAGCCACGGCUAACUACGUGCCAGCAGCCGCGGUAAUACGUAGGUGGCAAGCGUUGUCCGGAUUUACUGGGCGUAAAGGAUGCGUAGGCGGAUACUUAAGUCAGAUGUGAAAAUCCCGGGCUUAACUUGGGAACUGCAUUUGAAACUGGGUAUUUAGAGUGCGGGAGAGGAAAGUGGAAUUCCUAGCGUAGCGGUGAAAUGCGUAGAGAUUAGGAAGAACACCAGUGGCGAAGGCGACUUUCUGGACCGUAACUGACGCUGAGGCAUGAAAGCGUGGGGAGCAAACAG
rnacentral:rRNA from 1 species